UCAUGCCUAGAUCUAUGUCUAUUUUGGUAUGGUUGUCCAUGGUUCUUUGUCUGACCAUAGCUUUAGCAGACACUUCGUUCAAACAUUCUAAACGAGGUUGGACUACUGAAGAUUUGACUAAACCAAGUUUUAAGAAAACGGCCAUCUGUACUAAAAGCCCAUGGCGAGCAUGUUCACUAUCCGGCGAGACUGAUCGUUACCUACCUUGUUGUUCAAGAUACAAAUGCGUACCUUCAUCUUCGCCGUCUACAGGAACUUGCAGAUUUCAGCGGACCUAGUACCCUCCGUUGUCCAAUAAAUUUUAAAAUUUUCAAUGCAAAUCAAUGUUAUAUGCUACUCACUUACCUAUUCUGAAACUGUUGUUUUGAAUUAUUAAUAGUAUGACAUAUUUAACGAUUCCAGGGAAGAUAGACGUGUAGUGAUGCAGUGAGGUAUAAGAAGGAAAUGAACGAAUAUUGAUCAGAGUAGAAAGCAGUGUCUUAUACACAAUAGUAAUAGUGAUUGAAUUGCUACUGUCAAGGAUUUCUCCUGUCUCAAAUUUUCAACAAUUCCAGACUCAAAAAUAAACGUUAAACUUGCAAAACAGUA